rnacentral:rRNA from 1 species
CGAGUUUGAUCCUGGCUCAGAACGAACGCUGGCGGCAUGCCUAACACAUGCAAGUCGAACGAGACCUUCGGGUCUAGUGGCGCACGGGUGCGUAACGCGUGGGAAUCUGCCCUUCGGUUCGGAACAACAGUUAGAAAUGACUGCUAAUACCGGAUGAUGACUUCGGUCCAAAGAUUUAUCGCCGAGGGAUGAGCCCGCGUAGGAUUAGCUAGUUGGUGGGGUAAAGGCCUACCAAGGCGACGAUCCUUAGCUGGUCUGAGAGGAUGAUCAGCCACACUGGGACUGAGACACGGCCCAGACUCCUACGGGAGGCAGCAGUGGGGAAUAUUGGACAAUGGGCGAAAGCCUGAUCCAGCAAUGCCGCGUGAGUGAUGAAGGCCUUAGGGUUGUAAAGCUCUUUUACCAGGGAUGAUAAUGACAGUACCUGGAGAAUAAGCUCCGGCUAACUCCGUG